GUGCUCUUCCUAUCUAGAAGAUAGUACUGAGGUCAGACUGUCCUUUACAUACAAAGUGAAGGGACAGAGUAGGAGUGAAACUGGUGAUCUUUCUGCCCCUCCCUUUAUUUCUCUGUGACUGAAGAGCCAUCUUGUGUUUAUGGAUAUAUAGAGCUAUGAUAGAUGGAUAGAUAGAUGUUCUGUGAAUGUGAUGCAUUGUUAUUAGAUAGAUGGCCAGUGACUCCUCACCUUAUUUUGUUUCUUUGAACCAAAGGGAAAAAGUUAAUCAAUGACAAGGUAACAAAUUUUGUCUGGACAAAGCUGAUGCCUUUUAUGUGGGAAAUAAUUAACCUAUGAAAGUCACUGAUGCUGGACAAUAUUAAGCAGGUAAUUUAGGAAGACUCUAAAAGGGGAUUGAGAAUUUAUAUGAAUAUAAUUAACAAAGGCAGUUUUAGAAUCUAGAAUAACAGCCUGUACCUUCAUAAGUCUUGAUUUAGAGAAUAAACCACUUAACUUUCAGAGAAGAGCCAAUCCAUGUAGCAGACACCCACUGUAGAAACUAAGCAUCUAUACAUUAAGCCUUAUGAACUAAGCAGUCUUUAUUAAGAAUGACUGGUGAUGGGAUGUUCUGACAAUAAGAAUGUUCCUCUUAACCAAUGAAUGG